rnacentral:snoRNA from 2 species
ACCCUCUCAGGGGUGCACCUGGAGAGUUUCCAGUACUCUACCAGUCUCGGCUAUGGGAGGGAGAGUCAAGCAGAGACAUACAAAUUCCAUUCCUAGCUUGGCCAGUGGCUAGUGAGUGGAAGGCAAUCUGCUAUAAAU